UGAAUGGAACAAAAGGGAUGCAGAAGAAGAAAGACGCAGUAUAAGGUCGUGGUGUAUUUGCCCUGGCGCCCUUGAAUAAAGAAGAUUUAGUGGUGGAAUACAGAGGGGAACUGAUAGACUUCCUUGAAUCAGAGAGAAGGAAGAAGCCAAUACAAAAAGCCUUAGAGACAGAGUACUCAAUUCUGGUGACUGACUGUGAUGGAGAGUUCAGAUUCAACACACCUGGCGCAUGUAGUUAGAUUCCACUGAAGGUUUUGAUUACCUGGAUCAGGUGUGUUAGAUCAGGGUUGGAGCUAAACUCUACAGGGUGGUAGAUCUCCAGGACCAGGAUUGGCUGUGCGUUUCAAGCAAGAGUGGAUGACACCCUUGGCUGUCUAAUGAACGAUGAGCACAAGGACCCCAGCUGUAGAAUGAAAAAGAUCAUUGUCCAAGGAAAACCACAUCUCUGCCUACGACUAUGGAGGAAGUGACUGGCCUUGGAGGAAUAAGGUCUUGAUGCAACCAUGUCAUUACCACACGACAAUAUAAAUCAAGUUGGUGAGGUCAAACAAAAAAGUGAGAGGAUUGCCAAGUGGGUCUGAAUUCUGCCAGAGAAAGAAUGUGAGUCUUUUAGAAACAUGGUUGAGGAAAAGAUCAGCCAGCAAGUCAAUCGAAAUGACAAAUGAGCGUUACCGGCACCACCACCACCAUCAAAUGGCCCAGUGAUGCAGCCUAGCAACAUGGUCACUGUGGAUAUCCAGAACCCAGACAUACUGCCUUCACGCUACCGCCCUCCGGUAGUCCCCCUGCCGGCCCCCGCCUCUAUGGGCAAGGGGAAGAAAGACAAGAAGGGCAAGAAGAAGGGCCUGCGGAUCACCAAGGCAGACAUAGGGGCUCCCAGCGGGUUUAAGCAUGUCACACAUGUAGGGUGGGAUCAUAACAGUGGCUUUGAUACCAGCAAUCUUGACCCGGAUCUGAAGAAGCUGUUUUCAAGUGCUGGUAUCAGCGAUGACCAGCUAACAGACAAAGAGACUUCCAAAAUUAUCUAUGACUUCAUCGGUCAGGGGGCCUGGAUGUUAAGGAGAAGAUAAGGGAACAGGGUGCUGUCAUCAUCAUAAUCUGCUAUGCCGUCUCAGUUUUUGGGAGAUACAUUAUAGUGGCCAUUUUUGAGAUGGUCUCCUCGCUCAUCUUCAUCAUUUUUGCCCUGGAGCUGCAGAAAAUGAUCGUUUUCAUCAGCUUAAUAUGGAUGGACUUCUUUCGAGCACUGACCAGCUGCUUGGUCUUCAUCACAUCUCUCAUAUGUGUGGCUUCUCAGUGGUCAAACACUCCACAACGCACUGGAGGCGUAAGUGUGAGCAUGCAUGGCCUGUGUGUGUGGAGAGAGAAAGAGGGAGAGAGAAUCACUCUAUAUGGAUGGACUGUUUGAGUAUUUAAAAAGAUGAACAAAUUCACUAGAAGAGACAAAUCAUGUUACAAUAGAACCAUUUAGUACGGGUGGGCAACUGUGCCUCAUCCACUCUCACCCUCAGCACUGGAGCUCCUCAGG